rnacentral:rRNA from 1 species
GAUGAACGCUAGCUACAGGCUUAACACAUGCAAGUCGAGGGGAAACGACAUCGAAAGCUUGCUUUUGAUGGGCGUCGACCGGCGCACGGGUGAGUAACGCGUAUCCAACCUGCCCAUCACUUGGGGAUAACCUUGCGAAAGUAAGACUAGUACCCAAUGAUAUCUCUAGAAGACAUCUGAAAGAGAUUAAAGAUUUAUCGGUGAUGGAUGGGGAUGCGUCUGAUUAGCUUGUUGGCGGGGUAACGGCCCACCAAGGCAACGAUCAGUAGGGGUUCUGAGAGGAAGGUCCCCCACAUUGGAACUGAGACACGGUCCAAACUCCUACGGGAGGCAGCAGUGAGGAAUAUUGGUCAAUGGGCGAGAGCCUGAACCAGCCAAGUAGCGUGCAGGAAGACGGCCCUAUGGGUUGUAAACUGCUUUUAUAAGGGAAUAAAGUGAGAGUCGUGACUCUUUUUGUAUGUACCUUAUGAAUAAGGACCGGCUAAUUCCGUG